GAACAUCCUUCAAUAAAAACUUAUAUAAUAGCCAAAAUAAGGUUGGCGAGUAUCUACCCAGAACCGUAAAUUACUGGACUAUAAGUAAAGAAAUGAAUGAA
rnacentral:ncRNA from 2 species